rnacentral:lncRNA from 1 species
GUCUUUUGUUCUUUUGUUCUUUACUCUGAUCCCUCCUGCUAGCCAAGUCUGGUCGGUCGGUCGUUAGAGCCUUUGGGACUUGGGCCGGGGACCCCAUGAGCUGGCUCAGUGCUACUGACUAAGGGCACAAGCUGGUUUGAACGAGUAUAAUGGAGUCUUUCCGUUGUUGGCCAAGGUCUGGGGUUUUGAGUUCUGCUGCCACAUUUCAUACCCUUGCUGUCCUUCCAGCCUGGACACUGUCAGGCACAAGUUUAAUGUGAGGAAAUUGUGAGCACCGGUAAAGAUUUAAAGGCACGUCCUGGUCUGUACGCUCUAGCGCCGUGCCUGCAUGCCCUCCUGAGGACUGCUUUAUCAGUUGGGUUGAAGCCUGCCAUUCUGUGAGACUGGUAGGAUCUUCCCAGUCCUUACUGGGGCCCGCCCGCCGCCUGCUGAGGCCAUGCUCUGGUGUGCCUGCUGCUUGCUUGCCACUCGUCCCUGUUGCUCUCCAUUCGGUUACAUUCCCCUCUCCUGCCUCCACAGCACUUCCCACAGGGACUGGUGGGAAGAAAAUGGCCGAGAGAUUCUCAUCUGAGUAGUGCACUAUCCCAGCACUCAAGAGACUGAGGCAGGAAGAUCAUAAGUUUGGGGCCAGCCUGAGCUACAUAACAAAACCCU